rnacentral:rRNA from 1 species
GACGGAGGAUGCAAGCGUUAUCCGGAAUGAUUGGGCGUAAAGCGUCCGCAGGUGGCAGUUCAAGUCUGCUGUCAAAGACCGGGGCUUAACUUCGGAAAGGCAGUGGAAACUGAACAGCUAGAGUAUGGUAGGGGCAGAGGGAAUUCCUGGUGUAGCGGUGAAAUGCGUAGAGAUCAGGAAGAACAUCGGUGGCGAAGGCGCUCUGCUGGGCAGUUGCUGACACUGAGGCGCGACAGCGUGGGGAGCAAACAGG